GACGAACCGAGCGAACGUUAUUCGGAAUCACUGGGCUUAAAGGGUGCGUAGGCGGGCCCGUCAGUCAGGGGUGAAAUCCCACGGCCCAACCGUGGAAGUGCCUCUGAUACUGCGGGCCUGGAGGGGAUAGGGGCGUGCGGAACUUCCGGUGGAGCGGUGAAAUGCGUAGAUAUCGGAAGGAACACCGGUGGCGAAAGCGGCGCGCUGGAUCCCUACUGACGCUGAGGCACGAAAGCCAGGGAG
rnacentral:rRNA from 1 species